GAUGUGCUGAGAGAGUUGGAUGCUGAUAUAUUGGCUUUGCAAGAUGUGAAGGCAGAGGAAGAGAAGGCCAUGAAGCCUCUGUCUGAUUUGGCUGCUGCUUUGGGCAUGAAUUAUGUUUUUGCUGAAAGUUGGGCACCUGAGUACGGCAACGCCAUCUUAUCAAAAUGGCCGAUUAAGCGGUCGAAGGUUCAGAAAAUCUUUGAUGACACUGAUUUCAGAAUACACUGACAAUGUUCUUAGCUGAUCUACAGACAUUUCCUACGAUAAAUCCGGCUUCUACUGUAGCAUCAAUGAACAUUAGAGCAUCAAGACCAGAUUGGAUGGUAGACAAUGACGUUGAGAUUGUUGGUGAAUCUGAAAAUGAGACCAUUCAAAGUUGAAAUGUUAUGUAAUAGGACUAUAUUUUAUUUUGCAAGCAUUUGAUUUUUAUUGUAGUAACAGACUUUGGGACAGUAUCAUGCUUUUGAGUAAAGCCUUCAGUGAAGCUUUUGAUGAGAUUGUGAGUGAAUUUAAUUUGAUUUUGCAUAACUUGGUUGUAUUAGAUUGUGAUUUUGUAAGACCUUUUGUUUUGAAAGUGUAUAAUUUUAAUGGUUGUAUAA